AACUGAAGAUGUCUAAAACAUUUCGUAAGAAGGAAGCAACCUCAAAAUCAUAACACAUUUCGAUCCAUAUAAAUGGCAAAUGUCGAGGGUCUAGAAACCAGAUCUGGGGAAAAUUCACUUUAUUAAACUAAACCAUCCUCAUUAGUGCUAAUCUAAUCAAGUAAAUCAACACUAAUCCAUAUUAAGGAUAAUAUAACUAAACUAGAUUAAUACUAAUCCAUCUUAAGGCUAAAAUCACUUAGUACUAAUUUAAUUAAGCUAAUUAACACUAAACUAACUCCAUAAGUGCAAUUAACAACCUAAUCAAGGAUUAUGGAGUUAACUAUUUGGAUUAGCGAGGCAACGGGUCCACGGCGGCAGUGGUGCGACGAUGGUGAGAUCCGGUGUCUACGACGGCUCCAAAGGAGGGCCGGAAGGGGCUGAAAAUAGCCUUGCAAGCCUUUGCUUGCUGCUGGAGUUUCUGGUUCUGCUCGGUUCUGCUUGGGGUUGAUCUCGGUAGUUGUUGGCGGACGACACGGGUGCUGGUGACCGGCGGAGAUGCUGCUGGUGCUGCUGGUGGCUUUCGGUAGGGAUGGAGGUGGUGCAGCAAUGGAGAUGGAAAGGAUAUGGAAGGAAGAAGAAGAAGAUGAAGCAAAGCAGAAGCAGAAGCAGAAGCUGUUCUGCUGGGAGGGGGGGUUGAAUGCAUGCACAAGGAAGA
rnacentral:lncRNA from 1 species